UGGUAAUGCCGGAUGCUCCGGUUGGAUGCAUGUCCUUCCGGGAAAGAUUCUAUCGGUAUGGGAUGGGGUCGCGUCCUAUCAGCUUGAUGGCGGGGUAACGGCCCACCAUGGCUUCGACGGGUAGCCGGCCUGAGAGGGCGACCGGCCACAUUGGGACUGAGAUACGGCCCAGACUCCUACGGGAGGCAGCAGUGGGGAAUAUUGCACAAUGGGCGCAAGCCUGAUGCAGCGACGCCGCGUGCGGGAUGGAGGCCUUCGGGUUGUAAACCGCUUUUGAUCGGGAGCAAGCCCUUCGGGGUGAGUGUACCUUUCGAAUAAGCACCGGCUAACUACGUGCCAGCAGCCGCGGUAAUACGUAGGGUGCAAGCGUUAUCCGGAAUUAUUGGGCGUAAAGGGCUCGUAGGCGGUUCGUCGCGUCCGGUGUGAAAGCCCAUCGCUUAACGGUGGGUCUGCGCCGGGUACGGGCGGGCUGGAGUGCGGUAGGGGAGACUGGAAUUCCCGGUGUAACGGUGGAAUGUGUAGAUAUCGGAAAAGAACACCA
rnacentral:rRNA from 1 species